AAAAAAAAAAACAUAAAACUUGAAGUGUUAUUCCUAACUUGACGUUGAUUAAGCUUAGUUUCAUUUUCACUAUUCUUAUCAUAGCAGUCACAAGUUAGUAUUCAUUUUUGUUUAUAUCUACAAUGUAGAAUUAUUAUGUUUUGUUAAUAUGUAUGUAGGUACAUAUCACAUAUGUGACCUUGCACAUAUUUCAUACAAAUUGAAUUUAGUAGUGUUUAUGCAUGUGUGUUUUAUUAUCUGAUGUUUAAAUGUGGGGUUUUCAUAUUAUACUGAUGAUUAUUUGAUUCUGAUAAUUAUUAUGGUUAAAUAUUUCAGUUAAUACAUCUUGGUUCUCAACGGAACUAGUUAUAGCUACACAAGAAGUUGAUCAUGUGCUCUCCGGACUCAAGAGGAGAGUGCUCCCACAGCUUAAUACUUGUUUUAGAUCUUGUACGACGGACAGUGAUUGCAGCGAUUGUUGGGUUUGUUGCAUUUGUUCAAACACACUCUUGUAUCCGAAUCAAACCGUGUGUGCGUCGAAUUUUGGUGGUGACUACUAGUAGUGGACAGAUUACUAUUAUGCAUUUAUAUGUCAUAGUGUAAUUUCAGUGUUUGUUUGUCUUUUUCUUAUUUACUCGUCUUUUAUACCAUGAAAAAUAAUAAUAACUAAGUCAUGAGUGACUUUAUAUUCAGAAAUAAUAAUUGAUUAUGCUCCAAAACAUGAUUACAUUGGCUUUGUUUUAGUUGUAUCAAUCAUGAUACAUUUUUUCUAAAAUAAACAUUUAUUAGUAUGUUUAUCACAUAUGUAACCUAUAAUUCUUUCUUCUUGUUCAUUUUUA
rnacentral:lncRNA from 1 species